CGCAAAGACCGAUGCUGUAUGCAGAUCUGGCACGACUUUCAACAGAGCUGAAUCUGCUGUUGAUACUACCCUUGUAGCUGUCGAAGGUGGAGCAUGUCACAUACCAAGCAGAGGUGGUGUGAGCGCAAAGAACAAGGCUUACUACGUUGCCAACGAUGUCUCUUCCGUUCAAUCUUCAGUCAGCAGUUUGAGCAGCAGAGUGGGAUCCGUCGAGAGCGACGUCAAGGCAGUAAAGGAGACCGUGAACAGCUUGAACAAAUGUGCCAAGGCAGAGGAUAUGUUCCUUUGCAUGUUCGGCAUUGAUUAUUAAACCCUCCCUUCAUCCUUCAAGUCAUGGAUAGGAAACCAAGACCCUGUAUCAGUGUUUUAAAUACCCAGUACCAUGACAUCAUAUAAUAAAAUAAAAAAGCAUCAAAAAAA
rnacentral:misc_RNA from 1 species